rnacentral:rRNA from 1 species
UACAGAGGUGGCGAGCGUUUUUCGGAAUUACUGGGCGUAAAGGGCGCGUAGGCGGCCUUCUAAGUCGGACGUGAAAGCCCCAGGCUUAACCUGGGAACUGCGUCCGAUACUGGGAGGCUUGGAUUCGGGAGAGGGAUGUGGAAUUCCAGGUGUAGCGGUGAAAUGCGUAGAUAUCUGGAGGAACACCGGUGGCGAAGGCGGCAUCCUGGACCGACAUCGACGCUGAGGCGCGAAAGCUAGGGGGGCAAACGGG